rnacentral:rRNA from 1 species
UGGCUUAGAAGCAGCCACCAUUUAAAGAGUGCGUAAUAGCUCACUAGUCGAGUGACGCUGCGCCGAAAAUGUACCGGGGCUAAGCAUAGUACCGAAACUGUGGAUGCAUAUAUUAUAUGCGUGGUAGGAGAGCGUUCUAAGUGCGGCGAAGUUAGAUCGAGAGGACUAAUGGAGCGCUUAGAAGUGAGAAUGCCGGUAUGAGUAGCGAAAGAUAGGUGAGAAUCCUAUCCGCCGAAAGACUAAGGUUUCCUGGGGCAGGCUCGUCCGCCCAGGGUAAGUCGGGACCUAAGGUAAGGCCGAGAGGCGUAGCCGAUGGACAACAGGUAGAAAUUCCUGUACUGAAAUUGUUCGAUAUGAGCAAAGGAGGGACGCAGGAGGCUAAUGACGCAUGUUGCUGGAAAUACAUGUGCAAGCAGUAAGAAAAAAGAUGAGUCAAAUGCUUGUCUUUAGAUUUCAAGCUGUGAUGCGGAGCGAAAUAAAAGUAGCGAAGGUCAUGAUGUCACACUGCCAAGAAAAGCUUCUAGCCAGAACAAUUUUACCCGUACCGCAAACCGACACAGGUAGUCGAGUGGAGAACACUCAGGUGAGCGAGAGAACUCUCGUUAAGGAACUCGGCAAAAUGACCCCGUAACUUCGGGAGAAGGGGUGCUGAUAGUAAAAUAUCAGCCGCAGUGAAUAGGCCCAAACAACUGUUUAUCAAAAACACAGGUAUCUGCAAAAUCGUAAGAUGACGUAUAGGUGCUGACACCUGCCCGGUGCUGGAAGGUUAAGAGGAGAGCUUAGCGCAAGCGAAGGUUUGAAUUGAAGCCCCAGUAAACGGCGGCCGUAACUAUAACGGUCCUAAGGUAGCGAAAUUCCUUGUCGGGUAAGUUCCGACCUGCACGAAAGGUGUAAUGAUUUGGGCACUGUCUCAACGAGAGACUCGGUGAAAUUAUAAUACCCGUGAAGAUGCGGGUUACCCGCGACAGGACGGAAAGACCCCAUGGAGCUUUACUGUAGCUUGAUAUUGAGUAUUUGUUAAACAUGUACAGGAUAGGUAGGAGCCAGAGAAAGUAGGACGCUAGUCUUACCGGAGGCAAUGUUGGGAUACUACCCUUGUUUGAUGGAUCCUCUAACUCACAGAGCUGAGCGUUCUGGAGGACAGUGUCAGGUGGGCAGUUUGACUGGGGCGGUCGCCUCCUAAAGUGUAACGGAGGCGCCCAAAGGUUCCCUCAGAAUGGUUGGAAAUCAUUCGCAGAGUGUAAAGGUAUAAGGGAGCUUGACUGCGAGAGCUACAACUCGAGCAGGGACGAAAGUCGGGCUUAGUGAUCUGGUGGUACUGCAUGGAAAGGCCAUCACUCAACGGAUAAAAGCUACCCUGGGGAUAACAGGCUUAUCUCCCCCAAGAGUUCA